rnacentral:rRNA from 1 species
AUUGAACGCUGGCGGCAGGCCUAACACAUGCAAGUCGAACGGUAACAGGAAGAAGCUUGCUUCUUUGCUGACGAGUGGCGGACGGGUGAGUAAUGUCUGGGAAACUGCCUGAUGGAGGGGGAUAACUACUGGAAACGGUAGCUAAUACCGCAUAACGUCGCAAGCCCAAAAAGGGGGACCUUCGGGCCUCUUGCCAUCGGAUGUGCCCAGAUGGGAUUAGCUAGUAGGUGGGGUAACGGCUCACCUAGGCGACGAUCCCUAGCUGGUCUGAGAGGAUGACCAGCCACACUGGAACUGAGACACGGUCCAGACUCCUACGGGAGGCAGCAGUGGGGAAUAUUGCACAAUGGGCGCAAGCCUGAUGCAGCCAUGCCGCGUGUAUGAAGAAGGCCUUCGGGUUGUAAAGUACUUUCAGCGGGAAGGAAGGGAGUAAAGUUAAUACCUUUGCUCAUUGACGUUACCCGCAGAAGAAGCACCGGCUAACUCCGUG